AGUGAUUAUUAUUUUCUUCUGGAUAUGUUUGUGUGUGUGUGUGCAUUUCUUUGCAUUUGCUAUAAUGAGCAGGUAGUAAUUUUGUAAACAGAAAGAUAAAAACCCCACUGGUAAAUCUGACUUUUCAGUUUUCAGGGUAAGACUCCUAGGAAUUUGGAAGCUGAGAUUUGGGGCAAGUAUUUAGGAUUUGCUGUGUCACCUCCCGGCUAUGACAGUCCUUAAUUAAUGGAGAUGAUGGAGAACAGCUUGCUGGGCCGAGUGGCAGGAGCCAUGCAGCUGCCGGGGGCUGGAGAGGGUCAGGAAGCUUCAUCAAUCUGGGACACAUGACGUGCUUGGUGGUGGCGGAGCCUGACGCAUCCCUCUUCAUCGACAUUGUGUCAAUAGGAGCAGAGGCAUUUAGCUGUGUAAACACAGGGCUUGAGUGGCAGCACCCUAAAUGCUUAGCUGAUAGAUCUGGAAUUACAUACAGACCCAGAAACUGGAGUUGGAAAACUUUCUGGGAGCACCUAUUCCCUGCCAUCCCGGUGAUCCCCUUCCGGAUGGAGGGUGUGGAGCGCAGUACAUUCGCUUCUGCAGGAAGAGGAUGGAAAGGUGGAGUUUUUGUUUUUAGCGAUGCUGUGGAUUUGUUUACCUGGAUCCUUCCCCAGAAGCAAUGAGUAAGCCCUGGUAUGUAUGCCUUCCACAUUUAAAAUAUUAAUAAAUCUCAAGUGCCAAGUUACUCUCUCUGUGUGUCUAACAUUUCCCUUAUCCUGCCAUCUAAGGGAAGCUUUCAUGCCACGCUUUCAUGCCAAGAGCAUCUUCCGGGAUAAAUGGUAACCUCAGCAGAAAAAAUGACUCUCCGGUUGUGUUUCGCGUAUUGACAAAUCGAUAGCUCCCACCCUGGCAGCCCUCAGUGUCUCCUGGCUUAGUGCGGAGCUGCAGCUGCCUGUAGGCCAUGUUCACUCCUGUUCCUCUCCAUGGUGGGCUUGUGUCGCGAAGGCGACUGGAGAUUAAUUAGUGCCAGGGCCUUCUUUCCAGGUGUGGUGUAAUCAAGUUGGUACUCAUAUUUGGAGUCAAGAAUCAAGCAUGUGUGGGGUUGGGAGAGGGCUGAGUGGAGAAGCCAGGCUGUGUCCCUCUGGGGUGAAGUGAGGAAAUGGGAGCUGGAGAGGGCACCAGGGCACAGGUCUGUGAGUGUGGAGGAUGGAGUGAUGCUGGGUCACGUUUCCGGGGAGAGCGCGCUGUGCCCUGGCCUUCUCAGCCAGGAGGAAACGAAAGCCUUAUCAUCCACAUUUUCUCUAACUAUGGCCUUCUCCUUUUAUUGGGAUGUCAGACCAGCCUAAAGGCUGGAAGUCUUAUUUGGGAACUCCUGAUGAAGUGUAAAGUGAAUACUGAACAGGUGGAGUGCUUCUGCUUUCUGUGCUAAAGUAACACACAGCUAUUGCCCCAGCAAAGAGCAAAUGGGUGCAUUCUAAAGUACAGAAGUGUGGUGAGUGAGUGUUGCUUUUACCCACUCAGCCCUCCGUGUUCUGUUUCUUUUUUGGGAUAGCAGCACUCCAAUUUCCUAUGAUAAAUGACCCUUCCCCUUCCUCCAUGAGGUAGGGCUUAGAAGACCUGUCAGUCAAAGUGCCUGCUAGUCACCCAGGUCAGGGUUGAGCAUGAGACUCUAGGUAGUCAAUCACAUUCUCUCCUGGGAUUUUUUUUUGUUUUUGUUUUUGGAGACAGGCUCUUGCUCUGUCAUCCAGGCUGGAGUCCAGUGAUGCAAAGAUAGCUCACUGUAGCCUCAAACGCCUGGGCUCAAGAAACCCUCUUGCCUUAGCUUCCUGAGUAGCUGUCACAUGUCACCAUGCCUGGCUAAUUUUUUAAUCUUUUGUAGAGAUGGAGUCUUGCUAUGUUGCCUAGGCUGGUCUUGAACUCCUGGCCUCAAGUGAUCCUCCCAUCUCGGGUUCCCAAAGUGCCGGGAUUACAAGUGUGAGCCACUGCACCCAGAUGCCUCCUGGGACUUUGAAUCUUGAGCAGAGAGAUACGAGAACAAAGACAAAAAAAAAAAGACUGGCACUAACUAAUUCCAGAGAUCAUACUCUGACAGUGGCAUGGAUUGGUCCCUGCUGUCAAGGGCACACAUUUGCUCUGGCUCUGCCUUGUGCUAAGCCUGACUCCGUGGCCUUCGUUUUUGAUUCUGGGAUCUGGAGCUGCCCUCAGCAUUCUGAGACACUCAUCUUCUGUUUGAGUGUCGGUUCCAGUUAUAACCAACUUGUAACCAACCAUGACUGAUGCAAGUAGUUUAAGUGUCUGCAUCAGGCCUUCCUGGAAUAUAGCUUUAAGUGUUGCAGGACAGGGAGGUAAUUGCUAAUCGGCCUCCACACAGCAAAGGCUUCUUGGGAUGAAGGGAAGCGCACUGGUCAGAGGAACUGGAAACCCUCCAUGUGUGGUAGGUUGUGAGAGAGACUAUUUUGCAUACGCUGAUAAACAUAGUUACAAAAAUAAUUGGUGAUUUUUGAUUUUUAAAUUCUGCGUCAGGCGUCGUGCUAAGGACACGACACGAAUAAUGCUUCAACUCUUACCAAUAUCUUACGUGGUUGGCAUGGUUAAGUAUCAUCCCAUUUUAUAACUGAAAAAAAAAAAUUGAGACCCAGAUGGGAAGUCAUUCGAUCAAGGUCACCUGGGAAGUGGCAGAGCUGGGACUGGAACUGAGGUCCUCUGUCUUGGUCUUUUCUUGACAUUUCUGAUAUUUUUUCUGCACUGAUUCUCAAUUUUAUCUCUAUGUCUAAUUCCAGCAGUUCUCAACCAAGGGUGAUUCUUCUCCCCAGAAGCCACUUGUCAAUGCCUGGAGAUGCUGCAGUUGUCACCCUAGGAGAGGAGGCUGCUCCUGGCAUUAUACAGGUAGAGGCCAGGGAUGCGGAAAGCCAUCCUACGAUACCCACGUCAGUCCCCGACAAGAACGGUCUGACCCCAAAACAUCAGUAGUGCCAGUGCUGAGGAUGCCUGAGCUAAGCCCUUCCUCUGCACAAUUUGAAGCAAGAAAAGCAUGCAGGGAUACCUGGGCUCAAAAUCGAAGCAGGUGAAACGCAGAGAGGGAAAGAACUGCUUCCCUUGUAAUCAUUCGUCUUCCUCGGGUUGUUCUCUUCUGUUUUCCUGUUGGUCCUGCUUUUCUGAACAAAGCACAACGGUGGUUCUCUCCUCCCCCACUGCCCGCCCCUUCCCUUUGCCACUUUAGAAAUGUUUGUGCUGGCUUGGAGUCCUCCAGACAUCGCUUAUUAAUAAUUUCCCCUUGGCAUCUGCUGCCGCCUCUGUGUUAAUGGCUUGGAUCAGAGUGAGCCCAUGGCGAGGAGGACCACCCCACGUCAGAUGCCUGCUCCUCCAAGGAGCUCAACUCUAUAUAUAUUUUUUCUUUUGCUGUCCAAAAAGAGGCCUAACUACGUGAGAGGGAGCUAAGUGCUCAAAGAUGACCCAACAGGGCUAAAGACACCACAGGAGCUGUUAUGAUCUAUCAGGUAGAUAAAUAUCCUUUUGCAAAAUUGUCUAAAGCUUUAUUUAUAGAAGGGGCCCAAAUGGCUUGGAAGGAAGCUGCUUAAGAAGCUCUUAGCUCUCUGGCAACCCUCACGGAGUUGCAUGAAACACUUUAGGUUUUUUUUUUUUUUUUUUUUUUUGCCUUAAUGAUGCUGUAAGAAAAGCUGGGAUGGCCCCACCUGCUGCAGGAGGAAACCCAGGGAGGAAGCCUUGUCUCAUUAUGGAGCAUGAGGUGGGAGAUGCCCAGCUUUUCUCUGGCCCCUUCCAUCUUCCCACGCCUGGGCUGCAGUCAGGUGGGCUACAGGAGAGGUGGGCACCUAGCAGCAGCCCAGAGUGUGGGAAGAUGCAACAGGCCAGAGAAACCUACUGGGACAUGAGCUUGGCUCCCUGGGUGAGGUGAGGUGCUGGAUCAGUGGGUUUAUUGGAGAAAGAAAGGGCCCUGGGAAACCACUUCCCAUCACCUGAGAGGGAGCAUGCAGCCUCCAGGCCACGCACUGGGAUGGCCACCAAUAGGCUCUGCCUGGCUAACUCAUGC
rnacentral:lncRNA from 1 species